GAUGAACGCUGGCGGCGUGCCUAAUACAUGCAAGUCGAGCGAACAGACGAGGAGCUUGCUCCUCUGCCGUUAGCGGCGGACGGGUGAGUAACACGUGGAUAACCUACCUAUAAGUCUGGGAUAACUUCGGGAAACCGGAGCUAAUACCGGAUAAUAUAUUGAACCGCAUGGUUCAAUAGUGAAAGACGGUUUUGCUGUCACUUAUAGAUGGUUUCGCGCCGCAUUAGCUAGUUGGUAAGGUAACGGCUUACCAAGGCGACGAUGCGUAGCCGACCUGAGAGGAUGAUCAGCCACACUGGAACUGAGACACGGUCCAGACUCCUACGGGAGGCAGCAGUAGGGAAUCUUCCGCAAUGGGCGAAAGCCUGACGGAGCAACGCCGCGUGAGUGAUGAAGGUCUUCGGAUCGUAAAGCUCUGUUAUUAGGGAAGAACAAAUGUGUAAGUAACUAUGCACGUCUUGACGGUACCUAAUCAGAAAGCCACGGCUAACUACGUG
rnacentral:rRNA from 1 species